rnacentral:rRNA from 1 species
UACGUAGGGUGCAAGCGUUAAUCGGAAUUACUGGGCGUAAAGCGUGCGCAGGCGGUUGUGCAAGACAGAUGUGAAAUCCCCGGGCUUAACCUGGGAAUUGCAUUUGUGACUGUACGGCUAGAGUGUGUCAGAGGGGGGUAGAAUUCCACGUGUAGCAGUGAAAUGCGUAGAGAUGUGGAGGAACACCGAUGGCGAAGGCAGCUCACUGGGACGGUACUGACGCUGAGACGCGAAAGCGUGGGGAGCAAACAGG